AAGACACAGGGAGAAGAAGCCACCUGCAGGCGAAGGAGAGAGGCCUCAGGGGAAACCAGCCCUGCUCACACCUGGACCUUGGGCUUCCAGCUCCCAGGACUGUGGGGAAAUGAAAUUCUGUUGAAGCCACCCAGGCUGCGGCAUUUGGUUAUGGCAGCCCUAGCAACGGAAUCUACUUUGUAAGGAAGAAUGACUUCAUCGGGUAGUUCCAGCGAUGGCUUGGGGACAUUUUGAGGGCUUUCAAGUCCCUGCUGUGGACAAUCUGCAUGUGACAGCUGAGACAGGAGGAAGAGGCCCAAGGGAACGCAUUCCUGCUAGGACAGAGCUGGCUGGCUGCACAGUGGAGAGUGUUUGCUGGAAGCUGCUACCAGCCAUGGGGCACCUACCCGCCCAGCGGCCCUUGCAUCCAGAUGCAGAGCCCUGGACAAAGGACGGAGCUGUGAAAACAGUGCCUGGAGGAUCUGAUCCCUUCUAGCAAGGCCAAGAGACACGGCUGGGCUGGGGAGGACGGGGUCUCCAGGCCUCACCAUGGCCACUUAUCUAGACGCCAGCAUCAAAAGGUUCAAAGCCCAGGUCACAGGCUCAUGAAAAAAUUAAGCAGGUAUCAAAAAAUAUCACAAAGGCAACAGUUUUAUGACAUGAAAACAUCUAUCAGAGACAAUAUAAACCUGUCUGCUAAUAGAACCAGGAUUGGACUUUCCCAGGAUGACCAGGUCGCAAGGGUUGAGAUGACAAAAUCCCCUUAUGGAUGGGACUUCUUGGUCCUGGGUUCCCUUGACUGUGGCUUCCAGAAGAGAAGAGCUUUGGAGUCCUGCUGAGAGUGCCAAAACUGUGGGGGCCAAGAGAUAACUCUCCCUUCACCCUCUGAAGUUUCACUGAAACAUCAACCGACAAAAAGCAGAUUAAUAGGAGAAAUGGCAUACGAAUGUGUUAAGGUGCGUGGAGGGAAUAUCACAGAGUGGUUACCCCAACCCCUCAAUGGUGUACAGAGCUUAUAUACCAUCCUGAGCUUCCAAAAAGAAUAAAGGCUAACAGCAUAUG
rnacentral:lncRNA from 1 species